rnacentral:rRNA from 1 species
AUACGGAGGGUGCAAGCGUUGUUCGGAAUCACUGGGCGUAAAGGGCGCGCAGGCGGUUUGGUAAGUCAGAUGUGAAAGCCCACGGCUCAACCGUGGAAGUGCAUUUGAAACUGCCAGACUUGAGUACCAGAGGGGAAAGUGGAAUUCCCGGUGUAGAGGUGAAAUUCGUAGAUAUCGGGAGGAAUACCGGUGGCGAAGGCGACUUUCUGGCUGGAUACUGACGCUGAGGCGCGAAAGCGUGGGUAGCAAACAGGAUUAGAAACCCUAGUAGUCC